UGGGGCUGGGCUCAAUGGUAGAGCUCUUGCCUAGCAUGCAUGAGGCUCUGGGUUUGAUUCUCAGUACCGCAU
rfam:Ictidomys tridecemlineatus contig114932, whole genome shotgun sequence.